GUGCGCGCUUGGAGCGCUGGUUCUGGGGCCCGGCUGGGCCGGGAUCCGCAGGGAUGUGCGCGCUUGGAGCGCUGGUUCUGGGGCCCGGCUGGGCCGGGAUCCGCAGGGAUGUGCGCGCUUGGAGCGCUGGUUCUGGGGCCCGGCUGCUGCGGGACGGGUGUCCCUGUGCCACCCCUGAGGGUCGCAGAGAGAAGCUGCUGCUGUGGCUGCGGCCGAGGCUCAGUGCGGAAAACUGAGCAGUCGUGGUGGAAUAUGAUGGAAAACCAAAUUUUGUUUGGUUUUGGAUUUUCCCAGAAGUUUUUUGGUUUUGCUUUUGUUAUUUUGUUUACAUUUUCCCCUGAGCCCACCUGUGUGUUUUGCCUUAGGAAAUGGGAACAGGAGACAGAAGGGGGAAUGGGGACAAAGACAAUUUUUUACCCCAAAAGGGACGAGUGCAUUUAUAUUUAUUUUCUGACCCAGCUGGAAUGAUUUGGUCUCAGGAGGCACCUGGGAGCCUCCUUUUGUCCUGGAUGGGGCCGUGGCUGUAAAAGGGGUAAAGGGUGGAGCAGAGGUGGGCAGAGGAGUAGUGGUUGUGAUCAAUGAUAAAUUGGGGAUUUGCAUCUGGAAACAGCCAUUGUUUUCUUCAUGGGAGUCUUGGAAACAGAAGGGAGAGUCCGUGAGAAAUGAGGAUACUGCAGCUGGAGCGCUGGCAACGGAGCGUCUGCAGGGAAUAUUGCCUGGGACAGCGUCUUAGCCCAGGUCUCGGGAGCUGUGUGCACAUUCCUCCCUGGAGCAGGGAACCCCCGUGAGGAGGAGCCAGAGAUGGGGGCAUCGAACCAGAAAUGGGCAUCUGUGUGUGCACGUGCUUCCUGGCAAAUCCAGAUGUGACAUGGAAAUCCUAAGUGAGGAUUUCCAGCCUUGACUGCACGUGACACAGGCUUCUGAAAAUGGAACUGGCCUUGGCAGAAGAGCAGCUGAGAAGGGAAGCAGAACUAAAAUACCUGCAAGCACAAAAACCAAGUGCAGUGGUACUGCUUGGUCCUGUGUGCACCUCCUGCCUCUGCCUGCUGUGAGCACCUGGUGUUGCAGCUCAAUGUUCUUCAUUUCAGUGUCUGUUGGGUUUGGUUGUUGUGGUCAUUUCCUCCAAACACCUCCCCUUCUUUACUGGACACAUCCCUGGAGUGGGACCAGAGUCCCCCUUUCCCUGCAGGAAUUCUCUGCUCCUCUGGACAGGGGGUGAAGCUGGGGGUUAUGAGCCAAGGAAAACAACCAAGCCAUGGGCAUUCUGUCCUUGAUGCAUGCAGCAGCACCUGUUCUCCAAGUUCCCAGCACUGAUGACUCUAAAGAAAAUGCCUGUUCCCUCACUUCUCCAGCUCCCCCCUGCCCCACCUCCCCUGCUCUGAUCCCUGGUGUGCCAAGGUCCUGCAGCUCCCUGGCUCUCCAGCUGCAGCUGCCUUGUCCUGCCUGUGCCUGAUACAAUAUGGGCCUGAGGUUUUUUUAGCAGCAAUCCAUUCUUUUAAAGAG